rnacentral:rRNA from 1 species
AGGCAGCAGUGAGGAAUAUUGGGUCAAUGGGCGCAAGCCUGAACCAGCCAUGCCGCGUGCAGGAAGACUGCCCUAUGGGUUGUAAACUGCUUUAUACAGGAAGAAACACUCGGACGUGUCCGAGCUUGACGGUACUGUAAGAAUAAGGAUCGGCUAACUCCGUGCCAGCAGCCGCGGUAAUACGGAGGAUCCAAGCGUUAUCCGGAAUCAUUGGGUUUAAAGGGUCCGUAGGUGGAUUAGUAAGUCAGAGGUGAAAGCCUGCAGCUCAACUGUAGAACUGCCUUUGAUACUGCUAGUCUUGAGUCAUUAUGAAGUGGUUAGAAUGUGUAGUGUAGCGGUGAAAUGCAUAGAUAUUACACAGAAUACCGAUUGCGAAGGCAGAUCACUAAUAAUGUACUGACACUGAUGGACGAAAGCGUGGGGAGCGAACAGGAUUAGAUACCCUGGUAG